rnacentral:rRNA from 1 species
GAUGAACGCUGGCGGUAUGCUUAACACAUGCAAGUCGAACGGACUCUUCGGAGUUAGUGGCGGACGGGUGAGUAACGCGUGAGAAUCUGGCUUUGGGUUCGGGACAACCACUGGAAACGGUGGCUAAUACCGGAUGUGCCGAGAGGUAAAAGAGAAAUUGCCUGAAGAUGAGCUCGCGUCUGAUUAGCUAGUUGGUGAGGUAAAGGCUCACCAAGGCAGCGAUCAGUAGCUGGUCUGAGAGGAUGACCAGCCACACUGGGACUGAGACACGGCCCAGACUCCUACGGGAGGCAGCAGUGGGGAAUUUUCCGCAAUGGGCGAAAGCCUGACGGAGCAAUACCGCGUGAGGGAAGAAGGCUCUUGGGUUGUAAAACUCUUUUCUUAGGGAAGAACAAAAUGACGGUACCUAAGGAAUCAGCAUCGGCUAACUCCGUG